UGAUAUUUCUGUCAGUAUCUACUAGGAGUU
rnacentral:piRNA from 1 species